rnacentral:misc_RNA from 1 species
AACCUUAUGGACCUGCGGGCGUAUACCUGCGGAGGGAUCAUUACAGAGAUUGAUGCACCAAGUGCAUCACCUCCAACCCCUUGCGAAAACAACUAUCAUGUGUUGCUUUGGCAGUGUUUCCACAGCCAGAGGUUUACAUAAAAUCAGCUGUUUGGAUGUUGUCUGAGUAAACUAUAUGAAUUAUUUAAAACUUUCAACAAUGGAUCU